rnacentral:ncRNA from 1 species
AACUGUAUAAAAGCGCCUGGACUAAGCUUUGGACGAGAAAAAAGCUUAGUUGACGAGGAGGAGGUUUAUCGAGUGUUCGGCGGAUGCCUCCCGGUUGUUGCGAUUACAACCGCAAACCUUUCCUUAAAACAAAGAGGCGACUCUUUGCACAAAGGGAAAGGUAUAAUCGCCA